UACGUAGGGUGCGAGCGUUGUCCGGAAUUAUUGGGCGUAAAGAGCUCGUAGGCGGUCUGUCGCGUCGGUCGUGAAAACUUGGGGCUUAACCCUGGGCUUGCGGUCGAUACGGGCAUGACUGGAGUUCGGUAGGGGAGACUGGAAUUCCUGGUGUAGCGGUGAAAUGCGCAGAUAUCAGGAGGAACACCGGUGGCGAAGGCGGGUCUCUGGGCCGAUACUGACGCUGAGGUGCGAAAGCGUGGGGAGCAAACAGG
rnacentral:rRNA from 1 species